UACGUAGGGUGCAAGCGUUGUCCGGAAUUAUUGGGCGUAAAGAGCUCGUAGGCGGUCUGUCGCGUCGGCUGUGAAAUCCCGAGGCUCAACCUCGGGUCUGCAGUCGAUACGGGCAAACUGGAGUGUUGCAGGGGAGACUGGAAUUCCUGGUGUAGCGGUGAAAUGCGCAGAUAUCAGGAGGAACACCAGUGGCGAAGGCGCCGCUCUGGGCCGAGACUGACGUUGAGGAGCGAAAGCGUGGGUAGCAAACAGG
rnacentral:rRNA from 1 species